rnacentral:rRNA from 1 species
CCUACGGGAGGCAGCAGUGAGGAAUAUUGGUCAAUGGCCGGAAGGCUGAACCAGCCAUGCCGCGUGAAGGUCAGUGCCCUAUGGGCGUUAAACUUCUUUUGUGCGGGAGCAAUAAUGGUCACGUGUGGCCAGACGAGAGUACCGUACGAAUAAGCAUCGGCUAACUCCGUGCCAGCAGCCGCGGUAAUACGGGGGAUGCAAGCGUUAUCCGGAUUUAUUGGGUUUAAAGGGUGCGUAGGCUGUGAGGUAAGUCAGCGGUGAAAUGCCCCCGCUCAACGGGGUGAAGUGCCAUUGAUACUGCCUGGCUGGAAUGCGGAUGCCGUGGGAGGAAUGUGUGGUGGAGCGGUGAAAUGCAUAGAUAUCACACAGAACACCGAUUGCGAAGGCAUCUCACGAAUCCGCGAUUGACGCUGAUGCACGAAAGCGUGGGUAUCAAACAGGAUUAGAUACCCGAGUAGUC